rnacentral:rRNA from 1 species
UACAGAGGGUGCAAGCGUUGUUCGGAAUUAUUGGGCGUAAAGCGCGUGUAGGCGGCUUGGCAAGUCGGGUGUGAAAGCCCUCAGCUUAACUGAGGAAGUGCGCCCGAAACUGCUUUGCUUGAGUACCGGAGAGGAUGGUGGAAUUCCCGAAGUAGAGGUGAAAUUCGUAGAUAUCGGGAGGAACACCGGUGGCGAAGGCGACCAUCUGGACGGAUACUGACGCUGAGACGCGAAAGCGUGGGUAGCAAACAGG